CCUACGGGCGGCAGCAGUGAGGAAUAUUGGACAAUGGGCGCAAGUCUGAACCUGCCAUGCCGCGUGCAGGAAUACGGCUCUAUGAGUUGUAAACUGCUUUUGUACGGGGGUAAACGAAGAUACGUGUAUCAGUCUGAAAGUAUCCUACGAAUUAGGAUCGGGUAACUCCGGACCAGCAGACGCGGUAAUCCGGAGGAUUCAAGCGUUAGCGGGAUGUAUUGGGUUUAAAGGGUGCGUAGGCUGUCGGAUACGUGAGAGGUGAACUGCCGAGGCUCAACUUCGGGAUUGCCGCUGAUACUGUGCGGCUAGAGAGUAGGGGCGGUAGGCGGAAUGUAUGGUGUAGCAGUGAAAUGCGUAGAGAU
rnacentral:rRNA from 1 species